CGUCCCUUCUGCGACUCGUAGAGAGAAACGUCGACGGAAAAGAAGAUUCAAGCGACGACAACAAAGGGCUUCUAAAGCGAUCUUGCCGUGCCGCACAGUGUCCAAUCAAGUUUACGAAGACAAAAUUUCUGCAAAUGAAGAGCAAAUCUUGAGUGCAUUGGGCCGGUUAAUACUGCCAAAACUUACCCCACCUGCUGACCACAUCGCCCAGCGUGCAUUUACUCGCCGACGGCGCCGCCGACAACCGACAGAUAAGGCCGAAUUUGCCAUUAAAACUCCCACACAAAAAACCACAACGAGUGCGGCAAAUAAACAACGUGGGCCAGCUGUUAUCUGUGGCGGCCAAAAAGUCAAUGAACUUUUCGCAAGAGGGGGAAGAAAAAUCAGCAGGAGAGAGAUGAGAGUGGCGCCACAACCAAGUUCGCCAUCAAGCCAGGAGAGGGAGAAGGAAAAAUCAGCACACAAAGAACCAAGACCUCGCCCUCGCCGCAUGCGAAAAACAACAACAACAAGGCCGGAUUCACGCGUGAUUAUGGUGCCCACGACGUUUUUCCUUGAGGACAGCGCCAGCUCAGGAUCUGCACAGUCUACGUGCAGUACGUCGUCCUGGCAAUCGUCCUGGAGAUCAUCCAGUCACAGCUGACCACAGCCGCCAGUCAAAAGAGGGGGAUUUGGUGUGGAAUAAUUAUUUUAUUCCUCUCUUAAUUUGUUUGUUUUGACUGUGGCUGUGUCAUCGGAGAACUUCAUUGUUUUUUUUAUUAUUAUUAUUCAAUUAAUUUUCGGCUUACAAUUAAAUUCAUUUUUUAAGGGCUUUCUUUUUAAUUAUUUUUUUUUAUUUCUGGCAAUUGUUUUGAGUUGAAUUCUUUUAAAUAAAUAUUGCGUUUAUUUUAAAUUUAAAGUAGCUUUAAAUUUACAAAUAAUUAUUAUAAAUUCAAUUGGAAUUAGCUUGUACAAUUCAUGGGAUUCCAAUUCACUUCAAGGGAAUUUAUAAAGGCAUUUUGGAAUUCAACUGCAGAUUCACAGAACUUUCUAGAUGCAUCUAGAAAGUUCUCAAUGUAAAUCAAAUGGGUGGGUGGGUUUUGCGCGACCCUCCCAGGGCUGCUACCCGCGCUAUAAAAGGCGCUCCGUCCGCUGGCUCGAUGCAGAAGGCUGACAGACCUCAGAGAAAUCCGAGGACACCUGGACUUCCAGUGCAGUUUCGGACACCCGUCCGAACCCUUCGCACUCGUCCGAGCCGUCCCAAGGCCCCGACCGCUGUCUUGUCCCGACGCUGUCUCGUCCGAGGACAGCCGGAAGGCCGACCGCGUCCCGAGCCCCUCGAGCGGCACGCCUGUGUCCAUCGUACUGUCCGGGGUGUGGCCGAGCCGUCCGAAGCCGUACGGAGCAGUUUUGCCAGCUCCUUCCUGUCCGAGGAAUCGGGCGCCGACGUGGCACGCCGCCAGCGAGCGCUCGGACGAAGGCGUCCGAACGUCCGCCGCCAGAGACCCGCACGCCGUGGGCCCCGGCCGCGCCGAGAGCCGCCGCCGACCUGCAGGGAGCCGUCCGGGUUCCCAGCAAGGACGUUUCCAGGGCAGCCUGCCGGCCUACCCAGGGAACACCGCUCCCAUUUGUUGAUUUUUAAGUGACACUAUACGGACAAUUUCGAGCCAGUGAAUUUACCCUAUCCAGCCAGAAUUGUUGUGAAUACAAUAAAGCCCGUGUGUAAGCCAA